GUUUAUGGCCAUACUACACCGAAUGAACCUGAUCUCAUCUGAUUUCGGAAGCUAAGCAGGGUUGGGCCUGGUUAGCACUUGGAUGGGAGACUGUAUCCUUAUCU
rfam:Canis lupus familiaris chromosome 6, whole genome shotgun sequence.